UACGAGGGGGGCAAGCGUUAUUCAAAAUGACUGGGCGUAAAGGGCAUGUAGGCGGUCUAUUAAGUUAGUUUUAAAAAAAAUUAAAAGCAUAUAAAAACUUCGUUUUUUCAAUUGCGUGAAAAAUUCCAAAGCUUAACUUUGGUAAAACACAUAAUACUGAUAGACUAGAGUAAGUGAGAGGAAAGUGGAAUUCCUGGAGGAGAGAUAAAAUUUGUAGAUAUCAGGAGGAACAUCGAAAGCAAAGGCAAUUUUCUGGCACUUUACUGACGUUGAGAUGCGAAAGCGUGGGGAGCAAAAGGG
rnacentral:rRNA from 1 species